AACGAACGCUGGCGGCAGGCCUAACACAUGCAAGUCGAGCGAGGACUUCGGUUCUAGCGGCGGACGGGUGAGUAACGCGUGGGAAUGUGCCCUUCUCUACGGAAUAGCCCUGGGAAACUGGGAGUAAUACCGUAUACGCCCUAUUGGGGAAAGAUUUAUCGGAGAAGGAUCAGCCCGCGUUGGAUUAGGUAGUUGGUGGGGUAAUGGCCUACCAAGCCGACGAUCCAUAGCUGGUUUGAGAGGAUGAUCAGCCACACUGGGACUGAGACACGGCCCAGAAUCCUACGGGAGGCAGCAGUGGGGAAUCUUAGACAAUGGGGGCAACCCUGAUCUAGCCAUGCCGCGUGAGUGAUGAAGGCCUUAGGGUUGUAAAGCUCUUUCAGCUGGGAAGAUAAUGACGGUACCAGCAGAAGAAGCCCCGGCUAACUCCGUG
rnacentral:rRNA from 1 species